GUUAGUAAAGCAAAACGGCCAUGCAAGAGACCUAAGUCCUCUGACUAGGGGGUUCAAAUCCCCUUACUAACU
rnacentral:tRNA from 1 species